rnacentral:rRNA from 1 species
GAUGAACGCUAGCGGAAGGCAUAAUACAUGCAAGUCGAACGGAUGUAGCAAUACAUUAGUGGCGCACGGGUGCGUAACGCGUAUGCAACCUACCUUCAUCAGGGGGAUAACUACCCGAAAGGGUGGCUAACACCGCAUAAUACUAUUGAGUGGCAUCACUUGAUAUUUAAAUCUGGGGAGGAUGAAGAUGGGCAUGCGUCUGAUUAGCUAGUUGGUGUGGUAACGGCGCACCAAGGCGACGAUCGGUAGGGGAACUGAGAGGUUGGUCCCCCACACAGGCACUGAGAUACGGGACAGACUCCUACGGGAGGCAGCAGUAGGGAAUAUUGGUCGAUGGUGGGAACACUGAACCAGCCAUUCCGCGUGCAGGAAGAAGGGUCUCUGACUUGUAAACUGCUUUAGCAAGGGAAGAAAAAGCUCAUGCGUGAGAAAUUGACGGUACCUUGAGAAUAAGUACCGGCUAACUACGUGCCAGCCGUCGCAGUAACAC